UACGUAUGGAGCAAGCGUUAUCCGGAUUUACUGGGUGUAAAGGGAGCGUAGGCGGCCAGGCAAGUCUGAUGUGAAAACCCGGGGCCCAACCCCGGGACUGCAUUGGAAACUGCCAGGCUGGAGUGUCGGAGAGGCAAGUGGAAUUCCUAGUGUAGCGGUGAAAUGCGUAGAUAUUAGGAGGAACACCAGUGGCGAAGGCGGCUUGCUGGACGAUCACUGACGCUGAGGCUCGAAAGCGUGGGGAGCAAACAGG
rnacentral:rRNA from 1 species